CCCGCCCCCGCUUUCCCGCCGCCCGCUCCCGUCGCGCACGCCCCUGGCGCCGAGCACCGUUUCUUGGGCGUCGAGCACCUACUAGAUGCCGGGCGCUGGGGGCUUAGCCUUCACAUCGGCGCCCCCGCCCCUCGCCCCCAUAAUAUCCCUCCCUUCUUGGGGUCUCCAUUCACGCGGGGCGGGGGGGACGUUCCACGGAAUGAACCCGAAGGCUCGAAUCACUGGGAGCUGUUGGUAAGGCAGAGAAGCGGAGGGGAUGAGGGCUUCGCUUUAGGGGGGGUCCCGGGAACUCCCGAGAUGGCACGUGAGCUAAACCAGGAGAAAAACCAACCGUGGGAAGAUCGGAGAAGACCUUUCCAGAAGGAGCUACAAGGGAGACGGGAAAAGUGGCGCGCAGUCGUAUUGCAUCUUCCAGAUGCUGUGCACCUGCCGUUCCCUCCUCUGGGAAUCCCCCCGACCUCGUGAACUCCUCCACAGCUUUCCUGGCUCAGCUCAUACCUCGAUUCAUCUCCCUCAAGUGAGGUCACCUGGUUGUUUAUUCCUGUAGCACCCCGUACUUCUCUUGCACAGAACGCACAAUUCCAGCUCUAGGAAGUUACCCUAAGAGAAGAAACGAGAGGAUGAAUUCAAGGAAUACCACCAAAACUUUGUUUUAUAAUACUGAACAUCAGAAGCAAUCUAAAUAACUGACAGCAGGCCAGUGGUUUAAAAAAAAAGUUUGCCCCAUUAGGAUAUAAGAAAGAUCCUAACUAGAACACCAGCUCCAGGAGAGCUGAGACCCGAUCUGUUUGUCCAUUUGCUAGGUCUUUAGUGCUCAAGACAGUGCCUGGGACAUAGUAACUGCUCUAUAAUAAUUUUUUAAAGAGAAUCCGUGAAAUAUUGUGUAGCUAUUAAAUAUUACAUGGAAAAAUUUAAUCACAUCAUCACAUGACUUAGCAAGAGAAAGCCAGGAUACAUCAAUGUACAGUAUGAGGUCAGUAAUUUUUUUUAAAGUGCAUAUGCAGAGAAGCUCUCUAGAGGGGGCCAGAUUAUGGAUUAGAAUAUACAGAUAUAAAACAAAAAGACUACUGAUUUUCUACAGUGAAUGUUAACCUAGCCCAGAUUCCUCCAGAAAGCAGAGACUGAGACCUGGGCUGGCAGGUAGCUAGUUAUUUGUACUCGUUUUUUCAGAGAAUAGAAGUGGGGUGCCAAGAGAAGAGCAAACAGGGGUAGGAGGGACAGCUAAUCCAAAGACCAUCUUGAGUUGGUCCUGCUGUGAGCAAGUUACACUCCAUCCAACGGAGACCUUCCAGGCAGCCUUGAAGUCACCACCAGAUUGUCCUCCCAAGGGAUCAGAAAUGAAAGACAGACUUUAUUCACUUACCCAUCCUCCAUUAGAGAAAGCUUAAAAGUUUUUCAUAAUCUCCUACUUCCAAACUGAGUUUAACUGAGUUGUUACUUAUGUCCCACACCAGGGAAGCAGAGAUGCCCUGAGGCAAAAAGCAAGAACUACUCUAUGCAGCUAACAGGAGGGACUGUCUGAUUGCCCAUGCACAAAGCCAAUUACCACAGCAAUGACAAAGUAAGAGCUCAGGUCUACCAGAGCCCCAGAAGGAUGUCUGAAAAGUGGCCGCCAUCUUUCCCACAAGUACCUCCUGUCUCAUUCACCCUCCUCAGGCCAGUCACUAGACCACCAAGGUGCAAGGACUUCUUUACCUCUGGGUCAAGCUCUAGAGGCCAGAAGUCCAAAAGCAGUUUCACCAUGCUGAAACCAAGGUGUUGGCAGGAUCACACUUCCUCCAGAAGAGAUUCCUGAAGCAAGUUUCCUGCUUGCUCCAGCUUCUAGAACUAUGUUCCUAGGCUUGUCCUGUCUCCGCCUUCCUGCCUCCACCUUCCAAGCCAGCAGUGUAGUAUUUUACUCCAGUCACUGCCUACCUUCUAUCCCUGGGUUCAGGUCCCCCUCUGCCUCUCUUUUAUAAGGAUACUCAUGGUUACCUAAGGCACACCUGGAUAACCCAGGAUCCCCCUCCUCCUCAAGAGCCUUAAUUUAGACACAUCUGCAAAAGAUUUUUCUUUUUUUUUUUUCCAUCUAAGGUAACACUCACAGGUUCCAGGGAUUAGGAUCUGGAUAUCUUUGGGGGCCAUUAUUCAGCCUACUGCACAAAGCCUUCAGUGAUCACAGAUUCAAAUGCCUACAGAUAACUCCAGGAAACAAAAAUGAGACACAUAAGCCAGGUGUAUACUGUCCCGAGCUGCAGUGUGGAUGCCCAUCUAGACAAUACUCUGCUCCACCCACCUGUUGGAUCUUAAUCCAGAUCAUCUGAAAAUAAAUAUCUUGAUUUUUUAAUUAUUAGCAACAAAUUCUUCUUUUUUAAAGAAUAAAAGUUUUUGUUAAAAGUGUAAGUUGCAUUCGGUAGACUACAAACCCAACAGUUGUUCAUUCUUGAACCAUCCAUGAAGUAGAACAAAACUUCCUUCAACUUACAUUAAGAUACCUCCUUAGCUCUUGUGAAUGGGAUGGCAGACUUACACCUCAUUUGGGAUCAUUAACGUGUGAGGAACACCAGGAGAUGAAUAUGAAAAGUAAUACAAGGAAAUGAUGAUGAUUUCAAAGUAUAUUGUUUAGACACAUCAACAAAAACAUCAGAAUGAUAUAUAGUCAUUUUGAAUAUCAACAUGACCCUGAUGUAUCACUAUGGGUGUUAUUGCUCUUUAUUGCUAUUUUAUGCCUCAUAAUCAACAAGAUAUAAAAUUCUCUGAGGGAAAAAAUAAAACUUUGGUCUUUAAAAAAAGAAAAGCUAUCUGUAGCAAGAAACAAUUUGCUCAUUCUUGAGAAUUCCCCCAUCAAUAAUUCCUUUAAAAAAAUGCUGCAACAGACGGGAUUCAGUGUCAGCUGCCAGCUACAGACUUAGUCAUUCAAAAGGAAGUUGUCCCAUAUGGACACCACUCUCCAUAUCUCUCUCUCUCUCUCAUCUCAAUCUCCUCCUGCUUUUAUUGAAGCCCCCUCCAACCUAUCCCUUUAAUCUCCCAGCCUGGUCCCAAAACCCAUCCCUCUGAAAUAUUACCUUUUCUCAGAGAAGAAGCAAGUUCUGUCCUCGGGUCCCUUUCAUUUCCCUUGAAAAUUCAGCUCCAGCCCAAUGCUCAUCAGAGAUGCUUUGCUCAGCCAUCUCAGGCACACAAGGAGGAGGUGAUGACGUUAGUCCACAAGAUGGGUGUUCUCAUUCCAGCUUAGACUCUGAGACUCCAAGAGCUAGUUUCUUUGCCUGCUCACUUAAAAAGCAACAUGGUAUGACAAGCCUGAGUAUUUCUGGAGUGGUGCACCACACUCUGGGUGCACAUGAAGAUAUUGUUCUUUUUUUUUUUAAGAUUUUAUUUGUAAGUAAUCUCUACACCCAACAUGGGGCUCAAACCCACAACCUGAGAUCAAGAGCUGCAUGCUUCACCUACUGAGCCAGUGAGGUGCCCCAAGAUAUUCUUGUUCUUAGCUUGACUUUGACCCCGACUCGUCCAAUGAAAGAAGUUCCCCAACAUUAUUUUUUAAAGUUUUAUUUAUUUAAGUAAUCCCAGAGAAUUGAAAACGUGUCUACACAAAAACCUGUAAUGAAUGUUCAUAGCAGCAUAUUCACAAUCACCAAAGGGUGGAAACAGCCUAAAUGUCCAUCAAUGGGUGAAUGGAUAAACGAAAUGCGAUCUAUAUAUACAAUGAAAUAUUAUUCCACCAUAAAAAGGAACAGAGUGCUAAUAAAUGCUACAACACGGAUGAACCUCCAAAACAUGCUGAGUGAAAGAAGCCAGUCACAAUUCCAAUUCCAUAGAAAAUGGAAUUACAAGGGAAUUGACCCUUGCCUUAAUGGGUAAAUUGUCUUAUUAUUUGUUUGUGUAUCUCUCCCAUGAGAAUGUAGGCUCCCUGACAGUGGCAACCACGUCUACCUUGUUCAUCCUUGUGUUCUCAGCCCCUAGCACAGAGCCUGAUUCCUAAAAUGUGCUUGAUAAUUGUUGGUUCCGUGGCUGAAUGAAUGAAUAAACAACUGGAUCCAUGAAUGAUGGAGCUAAGAGAGGAGUCCCACGUCAGGCUCCCUGCAUGGAGCCUCCUUCUCCCUCUGCCUGUGUCUCUGCCUCUCUCUGUCU